rnacentral:rRNA from 1 species
GAUGAACGCUGGCGGCGUGCCUAAUACAUGCAAGUCGAGCGAACAGACGAGGAGCUUGCUCCUCUUACGUUAGCGGCGGACGGGUGAGUAACACGUGGAUAACCUACCUAUAAGACUGGGAUAACUUCUGGAAACCGGUGCUAAUACCGCAUAAUAUAUUUAACCGCAUGGUUCAAUAGUGAAAGACGGUUUUGCUUUCACUUAUAGAUGUAUCCGCUCCUAUUUGGGUAGUUGGUAAGGAAACGGCUUACCAAGGCAACGAUCCGUAGCCGACCUGGGAGGGUGAUCGGCCACACUGGAACUGAGCAAGGGUCAAGACUCUUAGGGGAGGCAGAAGUAGGGAAUCUUCGGCAAUGGGCGAAAGCCUGACGGAGAAACGCCGCGUGAGUGAUGAAGGUCUUCGGAUCGUAAAACUCUGUUAUUAGGGAAAAACAAAUGUGUAAGUAAAUAUGCACGUCUUGACGGUAACUAAUCAGAAAGCCACGGCUAACUACGUG